GAUUUGUGGCUGCGGCAGCAGUUGACGCCCCUGCACCAGCAUUUGUGGCUGCAGCAGCAGUUGAUCCCAUUGCACCAGCAUUUGUGGCUGCGGCAGCAGUUGACGCCCCUCCUGCAGCAGUUGACGCCCCUGCAGCAGUUGUUUCUGCAGCAGGAUUUGUGGCUGCAGCAGCAGAUGUCAUCCCUCCUGCAGCAGUUGACGCCCCUGCAGCAUUUGUCAUCCCUGCAGCAGUUGUUGCCGCAGCAGCAUUUGUGGCUGCGGCAGCAGUUGACGCCCCUGCACCAGCAUUUGUGGCUGCAGAAGCAG